GAAACCCGAAAGGUCGAAGGGAGNAAAUUCAUUCGUGUCCGAUAUGGUUAUUGUGCGGUAUAUUGGUGUUCGAAANGGUGAGGAGCAAUUUUCACUUUUUGCCCUGCUGCAUUAAUAUAUGUACCAUGUUGGACGCGUGCACUUUUCUUCUGGUAGGACGUUGCGAUCCGUUGGGUGUUGAUCUACGGUGUGUGGUAGGGCAGACCUUGAAGUGAUGGAUUUGCAAAAAUUUAUUCUUUAAGGACCUCUGAUACCUGAUCAACUGGCCUGACGGUAUAAUUAGAACGGUUUUCGGUCGCUCGAUCAAUGAUUGGUUGAAGCGUUCGGCUUGUAGCAAGCGCGUUAAAUGUUUCAGAUAACGGACCUGGUGCCGUGUCUGAUCAUUGACGUCUGUUGGUUGCAAAUGUCUCGAACCGGCUGACCUGUAAAAAACUGAUCUGCAACGAUAUAGCUUUGGGUAAUUUCAGGACCCGUCUUGAAACACGGACCAAGGAGUCUAGCAUGUACGCAAGUCAUUGGGAAUUACAAAACCUAAAGGCACAAUGAAAGUAAACGUUCAUCUUUAACGGUGAACGAUGGGAAGAUGAGCGUUAAUAAUGUCAAAGUUAUUGCGUUCCGCAUUCCCGGGGCGUCUCGUUCUCAUUGCGAGAAGAGGUGCACCAUGAGCGUACACGCUGGGACCCGAAAGAUGGUGAACUAUGCCUGGUC
rnacentral:rRNA from 1 species